GUAGGAGGCAAACGUUAUCCGGAUUUACUGGGCGUAAAGCGCGUGUAGGUGGUUCUGUAAGUAGGGCGUGAAAGCUCCUGGCUCAACUGGGAGAGGCCGUUCUAAACUGCAGAGCUAGAGGAUGGUAGAGGGAGGUGGAAUUCCGGGUGUAGCGGUGGAAUGCGCAGAUAUCCGGAGGAACACCAGUGGCGAAAGCGGCCUCCUGGACCAUUCCUGACACUCAGACGCGAAAGCUAGGGUAGCAAACGGGAUUAGAGACCCCGGUAGUCCUAGCCCUAAACGAUGUAGACUUGGCGUCGGUGGCUUAAUCGUCAUCGGUGUCGUAGCUAACGCGAUAAGUCUACCGCCUGGGGACUACGGCCGCAAGGUUAAAACUCAAAGGAAUUGACGGGUCCCCGCACAAGCAGCGGAGCGUGUGGUUUAAUUCGUUGCUACACGAAGAACCUUACCUGGGUUUGACAUAGCAGUGGUAGGAAUACGAAAGUGGACCGACCCUUCGGGGAGCUGUUACAGGUGUUGCAUGGCUGUCGUCAGCUCGUGUCGUGAGAUGUUCGGUUAAGUCCGCUAACGAGCGCAACCCUUGCCGUGUGUUACAAGUGUCACACGGGACCGCCGGUAUUAAGUCGGAGGAAGGUGAGGAUGACGUCAAGUCAGCAUGACCUUCAUAUCCAGGGCUACACACACGCUACAAUGGUCAGUACAAUAGGUUGCCAAGCCGCGAGGCGGAGCCAAUCCUAAAAAGCUGGCCUCAGUUCAGAUUGCAGGCUGCAACUCGCCUGCAUGAAGUUGGAGUUGCUAGUAACCGCAGGUCAGCUAUACUGCGGUGAAUACGUUCCCGGGGAUU
rnacentral:rRNA from 1 species